rnacentral:rRNA from 1 species
UGGGGAAUAUUGCACAAUGGGCGCAAGCCUGAUGCAGCCAUGCCGCGUGUAUGAAGAAGGCCUUCGGGUUGUAAAGUACUUUCAGCGGGGAGGAAGGGAGUAAAGUUAAUACCUUUGCUCAUUGACGUUACCCGCAGAAGAAGCACCGGCUAACUCCGUGCCAGCAGCCGCGGUAAUACGGAGGGUGCAAGCGUUAAUCGGAAUUACUGGGCGUAAAGCGCACGCAGGCGGUCUGUCAAGUCGGAUGUGAAAUCCCCGGGCUUAACCUGGGAACUGCAUUCGAAACUGGCAGGCUAGAGUCUUGUAGAGGGGAGUAGAAUUCCAGGUGUAGCGGUGAACUGCGUAGAGAUCUGGAGGAAUACCGGUGGCGAAGGCGGCCCGCUGGACAAAGACUGACGCUCAGGUGCGAAAGCGUGGGGAGCAAACAGG